rnacentral:sRNA from 1 species
AAAGCCUCAUACAGACUUUAGCUAUACCAUCAAAGCCUUGAGAAGCAAGAAGAAGCUUGGUUAGUGUUUUGGAGUCAAAUAUUACUAGAUGUCAUGUGUAUGAGUGAGUAUGACAACUAGAACCAUAACCGGAUCUUAAAAACCUAAGUAUUGAAUCUUUGUUAGAAGAUACAAAGAAAAAGACUCAUACGGACUUCGACUACACUAUCAAAGCUUUGAGAAGCAAGAAGAACCUUGGUUAGUGUUUUGGAUUCGAAUAUGACUUGAUGUCAUGUGUAUGACUCAGUAUAAAAACUAGAACCGCAACAUAUCUUAGAAGCAUAAGUAUUGUAUCAUUGUUAGAAGAUUC